rnacentral:rRNA from 1 species
CAGUCGCCCGGUAAAACAGAGGGUGCGAGCGUUAAUCGGAUUUACUGGGCGUAAAGCGUGCGUAGGCGGCUUUUUAAGUCGGAUGUGAAAUCCCUGAGCUUAACUUAGGAAUUGCAUUCGAUACUGGGAAGCUAGAGUAUGGGAGAGGAUGGUAGAAUUCCAGGUGUAGCGGUGAAAUGCGUAGAGAUCUGGAGGAAUACCGAUGGCGAAGGCAGCCAUCUGGCCUAAUACUGACGCUGAGGUACGAAAGCAUGGGGAGCAAACAGGAUUAGAUACCCCCGUAGUCCCUGUCUCUUAUACA